CUUCACUGUAGGCUGAUACUGUGUCUAGAUGAUUCUUGUGUAGGAUAGGUGGGAAGCUAUGAAGUGGAUACGCUAGUAUUCAUGGAGCUGACGUUGAAAUACCACCCUGGGAUUAUUUGGAUUCUAACUUGUUACUGUGAAUCCAGGACAAGGACAAUGUCAGUUGGGCAGUUUGACUGGGGCGGUCUCCUCCAAAAGAGUAACGGAGGAGCCCAAUGGUACCCUCAGCCUGGUUGGCAAUCAGGCGUCGAGCGUAAAGGUAGAAGGGUGCUUGACUGCGAGACCUAUAAGUCGAGCAGAAACGAAAGUUGGGCUUAGUGAUCCGGCGGUGCUGGAUGGAAAGGCCGUCGCUCAUCAGAUAAAAGGUA
rnacentral:rRNA from 1 species